UAUGUAUAUAUACGUAUACAUGCACUUUAUCACGUUAUUAUGUACAUAGUGAAAUGUAAAGUAUAUAACCACCAAUCUUUAAAUGUUUGAAUACUGUAUUCUAUGUACAUAUAUUCUGUAUACAUAAUAUUUCUGUUAUGAUAAUCAAAUAUUACUAUAUUGCCCAUAUGUCAAUGGUUGCAUGAUUAUAAUUUUUCACAUCUUUAUUCACGCUGUGGAAAUUGUGCUGUGACGGAAUUUUCAUCAUAAUCCAUAUCAUUAUCACCUUUAUUGCUCUAACCAUGAUCAGUGUUUAAGGACGUUAUUAACAUAUAUUGAUAAAUGGAGUUUUUGUUAUGUUGUAUGUUGAUAGGAUUAGAUCAACUAUUAGAUAUUGAAAAUGCCAUAAACUACUGAAAAUUUCCCUUGAUACUGGAAAUAACCCUUAAAUAUUGAAAAUAUCCCAAAGUAUUGGAAAUGCCCUUUUGAAAAUACCCUUAAAUAUUCUAACACGUGAAUCCACUAUUAAGUGUGAUAAAUGUAACCUUAGAUUAAGAGUGUGAUUAUUCUAUAAGUGUGACUCCAAGCCUGUAUAUCUCACCCUCAAGUCUCCAAGUGUGAACUCAACCUGUAAGUGUGAUUUUUGGCCUAGUGUCAGACGUUUCAAGUAUCGAAGUGUGCAUCUAGUUUGCAAGUGUGACUAUAGCCCUCCAGGGUCAUCCUUGCUUCCAGAUGUAAUCUCAUACUUCAGUGAGGACUUCUAAGUAUGUGCCAGUCAACUGGCACUUCACAAUUCAAGUAUGCGAUCUACAUAAGUGUGAAAGAGAAUUACACAAUCUAACUUGACCUGGCCACGUGACCUGCCUUCUCUUCAAGAGCAUAAAGGUCACACUUCACACUCGACACUUCGUACGACCUGACAUGAAGCACUCAGAGGCGUCAGAAUCCAGCCUGGAAGGGUCACACUCCAAGUAUUAAUCGUCACACUCCAACUCAAACAGCAUACUUCUAACAGAGAGUUCUCACUUAAGGAUUCGAUCUCACACUUCUAAAUCGGGAGAAAGUCUGAAAUAUAUCACAGUUAAUUUGUAUAUAGAUAGAUCUAUAGACAUACAGAUAGAUAGGUAGAUGUGGAUAGAGAUGGAAGUAGAUAGGUUAACAGAUAGAUAGUUUGUUUUAGACUGAUAAGUAUAUACCGAUAUAUACUCUUUAUACAAUCACGUUUCACAUUUUUUCUAACAUUAUAACACAUGUUCAUUUAUUUUAUUAGUUCAAUCAUGUAUUUAGGCUGUUUUGCAAUGUAUGUAUGUACGCUAUGAUUAUAUAUUCAUCUAUCUAUUCAUUUGUAAUUGUUGUUAAUAAAUGUGUAUAUAUUUCGAUACAAUAUAUGCAUAA
rnacentral:lncRNA from 1 species